GAAAUAGCUCAGUCAGUAGAGCAUAAGACUCUUAAUCUCAGGGUUGUGGGUUUGACCCCUAUGUUGGGCA